rnacentral:rRNA from 1 species
AUUGAACGCUGGCGGCAUGCCUUACACAUGCAAGUCGAACGGUAACAGGUCUUCGGAUGCUGACGAGUGGCGAACGGGUGAGUAAUACAUCGGAACGUGCCCGAGAGUGGGGGAUAACGAGGCGAAAGCUUUGCUAAUACCGCAUACGAUCUCAGGAUGAAAGCAGGGGACCGCAAGGCCUUGCGCUCACGGAGCGGCCGAUGGCAGAUUAGGUAGUUGGUGGGAUAAAAGCUUACCAAGCCGACGAUCUGUAGCUGGUCUGAGAGGACGACCAGCCACACUGGGACUGGGACCCGGCCCAGACGCCUACGGGAGGCAGCAGUGGGGAAUUGUGGACAAUGGGCGCAAGCCUGAUCCAGCCAUGCCGCGUGCAGGAUGAAGGCCUUCGGGUUGUAAACUGCUUUUGUACGGAACGAAAAGACUCUGGUUAAUACCUGGGGUCCAUGACGGUACCGUAAGAAUAAGCACCGGCUAACUACGUGCCAGCCGCCGCCGUAACAC